rnacentral:rRNA from 1 species
UCGGGAAUUUUGGGCAAUGGGGGAAACCCUGACCCAGCAACGCCGCGUGAAGGAUGAAGUAUUUCGGUAUGUAAACUUCGAAAGAAUAGGAAGAAUAAAUGACGGUACUAUUUAUAAGGUCCGGCUAACUACGUGCCAGCAGCCGCGGUAAUACGUAGGGACCAAGCGUUGUUCGGAUUUACUGGGCGUAAAGGGCGCGUAGGCGGCAUGACAAGUCACUUGUGAAAUCUCUGGGCUUAACCCAGAACGGCCAAGUGAUACUGUCGCGCUAGAGUGCAGAAGGGGCAAUCGGAAUUCUUGGUGUAGCGGUGAAAUGCGUAGAUAUCAAGAGGAACACCUGAGGUGAAGACGGGUUGCUGGGCUGACACUGACGCUGAGGCGCGAAAGCGUGGGGAGCAAACAGGAUUAGAUACCCUUGUAGUCCCUGAGCGGGCUGGCAAGGCGCAU